AAGAUCAUACUUCACAGGAUCAUUUCUGUAGUAUAUCUUGACUUGUUUCCCACCAGAAACAUGUCUCCUUUCAAUCCACGAUGACGAGUAACGACGCUGGCUUCUGAGCGUGAAGCAGGCAGUGAGUGUAACCACUUCGGUGGUAUCUACUUACGGCCAUUGAGGACCGUUUCUGGGACACCUUUAUGGAGUCCCGGAAAGAAGUCGGCGUGUUCAGAGUGGU
rfam:Daphnia magna strain Xinb3 scaffold00626, whole genome shotgun sequence.